rnacentral:rRNA from 1 species
UACGUAGGUGGCAAGCGUUAUCCGGAAUUACUGGGUGUAAAGGGAGAGUAGGCGGCAAGGUAAGCGAUAUGUGAAAGCCUUAGGCUUAACCUGAGGAUUGCAUAACGAACUAUCUAGCUAGAGUACAGGAGAGGAAAGCGGAAUUCCUAGUGUAGCGGUGAAAUGCGUAGAUAUUAGGAAGAACACCAGUGGCGAAGGCGGCUUUCUGGACUGAAACUGACGCUGAGGCUCGAAAGCGAGGGGAGCGAACAGG